rnacentral:rRNA from 1 species
UAAUUUGAGAGUUUGAUCCUGGCUCAGGACGAACGCUGGUGGCGUGCCUAAUACAUGCAAGUCGAACGAACUCUGGUAUUGAUUGGUGCUUGCAUCAUGAUUUACAUUUGAGUGAGUGGCGAACUGGUGAGUAACACGUGGGAAACCUGCCCAGAAGAGGGGGAUAACACCUGGAAACAGAUGCUAAUACCGCAUAACAACUUGGACCGCAUGGUCCGAGUUUGAAAGAUGGCUUCGGCUAUCACUUUUGGAUGGUCCCGCGGCGUAUUAGCUAGAUGGUGAGGUAACGGCUCACCAUGGCAAUGAUACGUAGCCGACCUGAGAGGGUAAUCGGCCACAUUGGGACUGAGACACGGCCCAAACUCCUACGGGAGGCAGCAGUAGGGAAUCUUCCACAAUGGACGAAAGUCUGAUGGAGCAACGCCGCGUGAGUGAAGAAGGGUUUCGGCUCGUAAAACUCUGUUGUUAAAGAAGAACAUAUCUGAGAGUAACUGUUCAGGUAUUGACGGUAUUUAACCAGAAAGCCACGGCUAACUACGUGCCAGCAGCCGCGGUAAUACGUAGGUGGCAAGCGUUGUCCGGAUUUAUUGGGCGUAAAGCGAGCGCAGGCGGUUUUUUAAGUCUGAUGUGAAAGCCUUCGGCUCAACCGAAGAAGUGCAUCGGAAACUGGGAAACUUGAGUGCAGAAGAGGACAGUGGAACUCCAUGUGUAGCGGUGAAAUGCGUAGAUAUAUGGAAGAACACCAGUGGCGAAGGCGGCUGUCUGGUCUGUAACUGACGCUGAGGCUCGAAAGUAUGGGUAGCAAACAGGAUUAGAUACCCUGGUAGUCCAUACCGUAAACGAUGAAUGCUAAGUGUUGGAGGGUUUCCGCCCUUCAGUGCUGCAGCUAACGCAUUAAGCAUUCCGCCUGGGGAGUACGGCCGCAAGGCUGAAACUCAAAGGAAUUGACGGGGGCCCGCACAAGCGGUGGAGCAUGUGGUUUAAUUCGAAGCUACGCGAAGAACCUUACCAGGUCUUGACAUACUAUGCAAAUCUAAGAGAUUAGACGUUCCCUUCGGGGACAUGGAUACAGGUGGUGCAUGGUUGUCGUCAGCUCGUGUCGUGAGAUGUUGGGUUAAGUCCCGCAACGAGCGCAACCCUUAUUAUCAGUUGCCAGCAUUAAGUUGGGCACUCUGGUGAGACUGCCGGUGACAAACCGGAGGAAGGUGGGGAUGACGUCAAAUCAUCAUGCCCCUUAUGACCUGGGCUACACACGUGCUACAAUGGAUGGUACAACGAGUUGCGAACUCGCGAGAGUAAGCUAAUCUCUUAAAGCCAUUCUCAGUUCGGAUUGUAGGCUGCAACUCGCCUACAUGAAGUCGGAAUCGCUAGUAAUCGCGGAUCAGCAUGCCGCGGUGAAUACGUUCCCGGGCCUUGUACACACCGCCCGUCACACCAUGAGAGUUUGUAACACCCAAAGUCGGUGGGGUAACCUUUUAGGAACCAGCCGCCUAAGGUGGGACAGAUGAUUAGGGUGAAGUCGUAACAAGGUAGCCGUAGGAGAACCUGCGGCUGGAUCACCUCCUUU